rnacentral:rRNA from 1 species
CGUAGGGUGCAAGCGUUAAUCGGAAUUACUGGGCGUAAAGCGUGCGCAGGCGGUUGUGUAAGUUUGUCGUGAAAUCCCCGGGCUCAACCUGGGAAUUGCGAUGAAGACUGCACGGCUAGAGUGUGUCAGAGGGGGGUAGAAUUCCACGUGUAGCAGUGAAAUGCGUAGAUAUGUGGAGGAACACCGAUGGCGAAGGCACGCCCCCUGGGAUAACACUGACGCUCAUGCACGAAAGCGUGGGGAGCAAACAGGAUUAGACUACCCUGGUAGUCCACGCCCUAAACGAUGUCUACUAGUUGGUCGGGUCUUAAUUGACUUGGUAACGCAGCUAACGCGUGAAGUAGACCGCCGUGGGGAGUACGGUCGCAAGAAUU